GGGUGGGGUCCGCGCAGUCCGCCCGGGGGAUUCAACUCGGCGGGUCAGGGACGGCCGCACGGUGCGGAGGAUCUCCUCGUGGGACCUCUCCCCGGCGCUGGCCGGCCCCCGCCGGCGCAUUUCCUCCGCGGCGGUGCGCCGACCGGCUCUGGGUCGGCUUGGAAAGGCUCGGGGCGAAGGUGGCUCGCGGCUCCGGCCUGGCUUUACAGCGCCCUCCGCCCGGACCUCGCCGCUUCCCGGGGCCGUGGACAAAGUGCUCCGUGCGCCCUCUCUCCCUCCCCCCAGCGGGGCGGGGAGGGACGGGGCCCCCUGCUCCCGGUGCGACUGUCGACCGGGGCGGACUGUCCUCAGUGCGCUCCGACCGCGUCGUGCGCCCGAGCGGGGAUCGGCUCACGUCAUGGGCGUCAGGGGUCUGCGGCGAUGUCGGCAACCCACCCGA
rnacentral:rRNA from 1 species